UUUCAUAGAGUGGGUCAUGCCUCCUCUCCUGUGAGACCACAAGGAGCACAUACAUGCUGGGAGAAAAGAGAACCAAGGGGAUACCCUACAGACAAAGGAAGAGAUACUUCUCCUGUCCAACAAGUGUGAUCCUGGAGUGGAACAUUUCCCUCCCCUCUGCUCCUCGGGGACAUUUGCUGAGCACUCCACAUCUCACCAAGCCCAAGGGAGGUCUUGCUGCUUUCCUGAGCGUGCUUCGGGGUCUUGGUGAGGUAAGUUUGACAGGGAGGAACUUGCAGCCUCCAGGCAGAUCUGUUUACUCAUUCUCCACGGCGCUCGGAGCAGUGCUGCACGCUGCUGCAGCUCGCCUCGCUCACAGACUGACAGUGCUGUCAGGUCCCAUUCAUCGCAAAGCAGCCGAUUCCUCACACCUCCCUCAUUCCCCUGCUGCACACAGCAAGAUUGCAGAAGCCGAGGUACUGCAGACAAGGCUUGGUGAUUGAUGCAUAGCAGUAACUGCUAGCGUUCGUCUUCAGAUAGUGAAACUUUGUUUCAUAAAGGUGCUUUAGGGUGGGAGGUGCAGGUCAGGACUUCUGUGUGCUGAUGCUUUUAGAGACAAGCCAGCAGGGAGCUCCUAAGAACAAACUAAGCUCAACAAGUCACUGCUGGUGAACUAAAGAGGAAAACAAGCCCAAGCACCUCUCUCAUUAGUUCAAGCUGUUCUUACCUGGAGGGUGGAAAGAAGGACUUUCAAGCCACUGGCUUCUUGUUCUGCCAUGCUGCUCCCCACUCACAAUCUCUCUCGCUAGCAGCAAACAAUGCAGCCAGAAAGCGUGCCUGGCUGCUGCCCCUGUGCUGUUUAAGAAACGAAGAAGCUAAACACAGAUCCCCAGACACACGCACACUGCUACCACCAAUAAUCACAGCAAUGCAACUCUAGACCUCAGCAGGAGAGAUAAAUGUACCCCCUCCCGCCGAGCUCUCCCACUGUGACGAGAAGAUUAAUCCCUAUAUAAAGAAUCCUAGGGAUUAAGUAAAGUGCUCAGUAAAGGUCUGGGUGCUUGGUGUGUGGCAAGGGGGAGUGUGGGGAGGGUGGCAAUAGCAACAAGAAAGCAGAAGAGCUACAAACCUCAAAGAAAGCCAGCGAGAAGGGAGGGAGCUCACUGGCUGCCUGACAGGCCUGACAGGCAUUCCCAGCUGAUCCGUUCCAGACCCUGCGUGGACUUGGCUCUGUUUGACUCUGCUCCUGUGAAACCGGAGAUGUUGAGAAGGCAGAGCGAGCGAGAGAGAUGCCCUCAGUCUUAACGAGCGCUGACAACGAACGGAAGAUAACCCAGCAUGAGGGACAGGUGGAGUGGUAUCACUGAGGCUCACGGAGAGUUUUGAGCUUCCAACUGCGACGCUUCUCUCCAGUUGCAACCAUGAAGGCCAUGGACAGUGCCCCAAAGCAGUCACAGGGCAGGGAAUGCAUGCAGAGGCACUGCGCUGCAGCAUGGCAAAGCCCAGGGAAAGAGAGUGCUUCCAUCCUGUGCGGCCUCUCUUCCCCUGCAAAGUGCAGUUUGGGGAGAAAGUUUGCUCCAAGGGCUGCUACAAUGAUUCACAUGUACCUCUUCAUGUAUGUAAGGAUUGUAGCUCAGAGCAGAGUUUGUUCCCUGGUGCAUGAACCAUGCUGGAGUACAGCUGUAGUUGAAGCUUGGAUUCUUAGGAGGGCACAGAGUCCACAUGUAGCUUCAGCUGGAUGAUAUCAAAGGACUUGGUACGCAAGGAGGAGCAGGGCGAAGACACAGAAACAAGUUAAAGAUGUCACCUGAUCUCCAGCAAAUAUGUGCUCACUAUUUUAGCCCGCAGCAAAGGUAAAAUAACGCAGGAUGGUUUUACCUGCAUUAAAAGAGCACUCAGUCCAAUUAUUCCAUUUUAUGAGCAUAUGCAGAAGUCAUUAACAUGGAUCAGCUGGCGCUAAGUAGUAUUCUAACCACAGAAACUUGUUCCUAUACCUAAACCUACAUUUCCCCUGCCUGUAAAAGGCAAUUUUGAAGUUUUCCUUGUUGACGCGUUGUAAAGCUAUAAAAUAUGCAAACCCUCAUUCAAAAGCAUCACACCAAAAUUAAAAAUGUUUUAAACUAUGACACUGCAUUCGAAUGAUAAAAGGUUAAAAAUAUCCCUGCAUGAGAGAAUCUGGACGUUUUCCUUGUGAAUGAAGUGAUGAGAGGAAGACAGAAGCCCUCUGUCAGAUAGUCAGCAACUGUAAUAUUAUUGAUUCGUAAAUUAAAAGUGGGAAUCCCAUACAAAAUAUAAAUUCCCCGCAUUAUUUUCACAUUUCUUUGGAUUCCAAACCAGAAUUCAGCCUGUUGUUACUCAUGUAACACUGAAUUGCAUUUGAAAGUAAUUCACAGGAUAAAUAAAAAUUAGCCCAGGGAAGACUUAAAUACAGCAACUGUAGGACCGGUAUCAAUACCUCCAGAAAAAAGGUGAGCAGCCACAGCCAAACUUCACAUUUCUGACCUACAGUCUACACCAGAGAAAUGCAGACAUCAUUCAGUUUUUAGAUAUGAGCGUUAAAUAAAGCCAAAAUAACAAAAAUCAGCGUGGAAACCUGUGAAUAACCUGAGGAUGUUUUUUCCCUGAUUCUCAUAAAAAUGAUGCCAAUUUUGCAUUCACAUUGCACACCUGGUUUCUAAUAGGAUUAUUUCAAUUUUUAAACCAGUGAGACAGAUUAGAGAGUAGCCAGAUUCCAUUAAAAAUGGAAAAAAGAAACCCUAAUUGGAUAAAUUGUUCAUUCCAAGGCCAGCAUGAGUUUUAUGAAACACAAUUGAAAUAUCAUGGUGUAAAAUACCCAGUUAACUGUCCAUGCUUCAUUUACAUUAAAUAUAGAAAUGAGCUCUCCUGUCAAAAUUACA